GGGUAGGUAGCUCAGUUGGUAGAGCAGGUGACUGAAAAUCAUCGUGUCAUGGGUUCAAUUCCCGUCCCACCCACCA
rnacentral:tRNA from 1 species